GAUGAACGCUGGCGGCGUGCCUAAUACAUGCAAGUCGAACGCGAGAGGAGGGAGCUUGCUCCCUCUGAUCGAGUGGCGGACGGGUGAGUAACACGUAGGCAACCUGCCCAUCAGCCGGGGACAACUGCGGGAAACCGUGGCUAAUACCGGAUAAUCCUCUCCACCGCGGGGUGGGGAGUUGAAAGACGGUUUCGGCUGUCGCUGAUGGAUGGGCAUGCGGCGCAUUAGCUGGUUGGCGGGGUAACGGCCCACCAAGGCAACGACGCGUAGCCGACCUGGGGGGGUGAUCGGCCACACUGGGACUGAGACACGGCCCAGACUCCUACGGGAGGCAGCAGUAGGGAAUCUUCCGCAAUGGACGAAAGUCUGACGGAGCAACGCCGCGUGAGUGAAGAAGGGUUUCGGCUCGUAAAACUCUGUUGUUAAGGAAGAACGCCAGGUAGAGUAACUGCUACCUGUGUGACGGUACUUAACCAGAAAGCCACGGCUAACUACGUGCCAGCAGCCGCCGUAA
rnacentral:rRNA from 1 species